rnacentral:tRNA from 1 species
GGACCGUUGGCUCAGCGGUAGAGCGCUUCGUUGACAUCGAAGAGGUCACUGGUUCGAUCCCAGUACGGUCCA